rnacentral:misc_RNA from 1 species
UUGGAUCCAACCUGAACGCGCACACGCAGCCAAACCAAAAGGCCGCACGCGUUUAUUGAAGAUGCAUGGGAUCUUUUGAGCCAAACCAAACUCCGUCUCAAAAAUACACACUCAUACUAUUACUAUCUAAUAUCUAUCCACAAAAUUGUCCCCGCGUCGCCGGCUCGGCUCGGCUCGGUUCGAGUUCGACGCGCGCGGGGCUGGCCUCUUUUGUCCUCCUCUCUCCCCCUCUGGCGGCUACGCUGCCGCCGUGCCAUCAUCACCGCCGCCGCCGAGCGGCUUGACGCUGGCGAGGAAGGACGGCUGCGCGCGGUCGCCGGGCAUGAAGACGACGACCUUGGGCUCGCGGUCCAGCGGCGCGAGCGCCGCCCUCUCGUCGGCCGCCCCAUCAUCCCGCCGCCGCGAGGACGACGCCUUCUUGCGCGUGCAGAUGAGCACGAGCAGAGCCGUCGCGAUGACGCACAUCAUGAAGGCCAGGCCUAGGAAGACGUAUGGGGUCGGCGUCUUCCAUAGGCUCGGCGGGGCCCCGCCUGCGCCGCCCGUUAGCUUCGCCGAAACACCUCCACCAUCUCUCCCCGGCCUCAUCUUCUUCUUCUUCUCUCUCUCUCUCGCUCUCGCUCUUGCUUUUAUGUGUACUAGCAGCGCAACGAAGAGACCUCUAGCUAUUGCCUAUUGGGCUAUUGGCUUGUUUCUGGGAUCUUCGGUGGAAUGGAAA